GGGUCGAUAGCUCAAUGGUAGAGCAGUUGCCUUUUAAGCAAUUGGUUCUGGGUUCGAAUCCCAGUCGGCCCACCA
rnacentral:tRNA from 1 species